AUUGAACGCUGGCGGCAGGCCUAACACAUGCAAGUCGAGCGAGCGGCGGACGGGUGAGUAAUGUCUGGGAAACUGCCUGAAGGAGGGGGAUAACUACUGGAAACGGUAGCUAAUACCGCAUACCAUCAGAUGUGCCCAGAUGGGAUUAGCUAGUAGGUGGGGUAAUGGCUCACCUAGGCGACGAGCCCUAGCUGGUCUGAGAGGAUGACCAGCCACACUGGAACUGGGACACGGUCCAGACUCCUACGGGAGGCAGCAUUGGGGAAUUGUGGAACAUGGGCCCAAGCCUGAUGCAGCCAUGCCGCGUGUAUGAAGAAGGCCUUCGGGUUGUAAAGUACUUUCAGCGGGGAGGCGUUACCCGCAGAAGAAGCACCGGCUAACUCCGUGCCAGCAGCCGCGGUAAUAC
rnacentral:rRNA from 1 species